rnacentral:rRNA from 1 species
AUUGAACGCUGGCGGCAGGCCUAACACAUGCAAGUCGAGCGGAUGAAGGGAGCUUGCUCCUGGAUUCAGCGGCGGACGGGUGAGUAAUGCCUAGGAAUCUGCCUGGUAGUGGGGGAUAACGUCCGGAAACGGGCGCUAAUACCGCAUACGUCCUGAGGGAGAAAGUGGGGGAUCUUCGGACCUCACGCUAUCAGAUGAGCCUAGGUCGGAUUAGCUAGUUGGUGGGGUAAAGGCCUACCAAGGCGACGAUCCGUAACUGGUCUGAGAGGAUGAUCAGUCACACGGGAACUGAGACACGGUCCAGACGCCUACGGGAGGCAGCAGUGGGGAAUAUUGGACAAUGGGCGAAAGCCUGAUCCAGCCAGGCCGAGUGUGUGAAGAAGGUCUUCGGAUUGUAAAGCACUUUAAGUUGGGAGGAAGGGCAGUAAGUUAAUACCUUGCUGUUUUGACGUUACCAACAGAAUAAGCACCGGCUAACUUCGUG